CAUGUGGGGUUUAACAUCAUUUACUGUUUUGAUGCUUCCCGUUCCAGCCUGUAAAACAGACACAGUGAUUAUACAGCAAUGGGAAGAUAUGGGGAGGUACAGCUAGAAGAGGUUCAGAAGAGGUUGAAGCUGCCUGAACACUGAAGGCAAAGAUUUUGGAAGAACAGACUGAGGAAGGAGCUAAUGAUACUCCAAAAGAGGAUCAGGUCCUUCUUUGGAAAUGCUCAAGCCUGGGGUUCUGUCCUGAGACAAGAUCGUUUGGGACCAUCCUGUCAAGAGAGAGGUUGGGACCAGGAGGAAGCUCUUGAGUCAUCACUGUGGUGCUCUGCUAUCACCAGCUAUCUUGUGGCAUAAACGUCAUCCUGGAUUGGUCAAAUUCAAUAACAAACCAGGUGAUGGAUGCCUCUUCUUGGCAGACCCAGCAAAACCCAUCCCACCUUGAGGACCUCAAAGUAAUGGAUCAUAAUGAGUAGAUCAUUCAGUCUGGUAAAAUACUUAAGAAGGUGAAAACAUAUUUCCCUGUGGCUGAUCCUUGAUUUUAUGUGAUCUUGAAAAGCCUUUUUCCUUCAUCCCUUCUUACAGAAGAUCACAAAUAGCUUCAUCUCCUCUGCAGGGACCUGAACAUAUUAAAAGGUCAGUGCUAGAUCAAAACAAGUAUGCUUUAAAAAAGAAGUAUUUCCCUCAGUUCCCCAUCAUGCCAUAUUAUAUCUGCCACGAAACCCAUGCACAGUUUACCUGCACGGUUUCUGUUUAUCAUUUAUCUCAGCAGACUGAAAGCAGUCAUUCUGCUCCCAUCGAGUCACUUGUUCUCGCUAGUUGAAUGCUCACUGAAGCAGUCACAGUGCCAAGCUUGCAAGGAAAUAUUCAGACACUAAUUAACCUCUUCAUUCUGUGUGUGGGCAGGGGCUGUGUUUCCCCUGGAGCACAAUUGGUGUUCAAGAUGCUUGUUUGGGGUUUCAGGGUGUUUGCACACAGUGUAUGGCUCCCUGUGUCUCUGUUGGUAUGUGUGUGGGACGCCGCUGGCUCCAUUUGCCCACAGCUGAUCCUGCAUGACAUUCCCCUUGGAACACACAAGUUUUCCAAUAUGGAAGUUUAAAAACCAGCCCUUCUCCUAUUUUAUUUCAGUUGCUAGAUAAAAGGCAGCAAAUCUCAUGGCUACUCCAUCAAGCCGUCCCAAUAAAUGCUUGUGUGGCUGUAGGGUGGGAGGGGAGAUUGAUUUCAGCAUCUGUCCAACACACGUUCAGCCUGGAGCAUUAACCCUCUUCAGAGGUUUUCCUCUUUGAUUUUCCCAAUAAACAGAUCUGCCUGGUGUUACUGCUGAUGCUGAUAGGAUCUUCUGUGGGAGGUGGUUUAGCAUGUGGAUAGAAUCGGCAUUAGAGGUUACUAAAGUGGUUUGUGUUUCCGUGCUCAGCUUCUCCUU